rnacentral:rRNA from 1 species
UACGGGGGGGGCAAGCGUUGUUCGGAAUUACUGGGCGUAAAGGGCUCGUAGGCGGCCAACUCAGUCGGACGUGAAAUCCCUCGGCUUAACCGGGGAAUGGCGUCCGAUACUGGAUGGCUUGAGUUUGGGAGAGGGAUGCGGAAUUCCAGGUGUAGCGGUGAAAUGCGUAGAUAUCUGGAGGAACACCGGUGGCGAAGGCGGCAUCCUGGACCAACACUGACGCUGAGGAGCGAAAGCCAGGGGAGCAAAGCGGG